rnacentral:rRNA from 1 species
GUGGUUCGAUACGUCGGAUGUGAAAAUCAGGGGCUCAACCCUGACCUGCAUCCGAUACGGUCGAGCUAGAGUUUGGUAGGGGAGACUGGAAUUCCUGGUGUAGCGGUGGAAUGCGCAGAUAUCAGGAGGAACACCGAUGGCGAAGGCAGGUCUCUGGGCCAAUACUGACACUGAGGAGCGAAAGCGUGGGGAGCGAACAGGAUUAGAUACCCUGGUAGUCCACGCCGUAAACGGUGGGCGCUAGUUGUGCGAACCUUCCACGGUUUGUGCGACGCAGCUAACGCAUUAAGCGCCCCGCCUGGGGAGUACGAUCGCAAGAUUAAAACUCAAAGGAAUUGACGGGGCCCCGCACAAGCAGCGGAGCAUGCGGCUUAAUUCGACGCAACGCGAAGAACCUUACCAAGGCUUGACAUAUACAGGAAUAUGGCAGAGAUGUCAUAGCCGCAAGGUCUGUAUACAGGUGGUGCAUGGUUGUCGUCAGCUCGUGUCGUGAGAUGUCGGGUUAAGUCCCGCAACGAGCGCAACCCUCGUUCUGUGUUGCCAGCAUUAAGUUGGGGACUCACAGGAGACUGCCGGGGUUAACUCGGAGGAAGGUGGGGAUGACGUCAAAUCAUCAUGCCCCUUAUGUCUUGGGCUGCACGCAUGCUACAAUGGCUGGUACAAACGGCUGCGAUACCGCAAGGUGGAGCGAAUCCGAUAAAGCCAGUCUCAGUUCGGAUUGGGGUCUGCAACUCGACCCCAUGAAGUCGGAGUUGCUAGUAAUCGUAGAUCAGCAACGCUACGGUGAACACGUUCCCGGGGCUUGUACACACCGCCCGUCACAUCACGAAAGUCGGUAACACCCAAAGUCAGUGGCCCAACCGUAAGGAGGGAGCUGCCAAAGGUGGGAUCGGUGAUUGGGAUGAAGUCGUAACAAGGUA